AACACAUGCAAGUCGAGCGCGAAUGGAGCAAUCCUAGUAUAGCGGCGCACGGGUGAGUAACACGUGGGUAAUCUGCCUGGAAGAUCGGGAUAACCUGCCGAAAGGCAAGCUAAUACCGAAUAAGCCCACAGAGUCUUCGGACUCCGAGGGAAAAGAUGGACUCUGCAUGCAAGCUAUCACUUCCAGAUGAUCCCGCGGUCCAUCAGCUAGUUGGCGGGGUAAUGGCCCACCAAGGCUACGACGGGUAGCUGGUCUGAGAGGACGAUCAGCCACACUGGAACUGAGACACGGUCCAGACUCCUACGGGAGGCAAUAGUGGGGAAUUUUGCGCAAUGGGCGAAAGCCUGACGCAGUAACGCCGCGUGUGUGAUGAAGGUCUUCGGAUCGUAAAGCACUUUCGACCGGGACGAAAACCCGCUGGCUAACAUCCAGCGAUCUGACGGUACCGGGAGAAGAAGCACCGGCUAACUCUGUGCCAGCAGCCGCGGUAAUACAGAGGGUGCAAGCGUUG
rnacentral:rRNA from 1 species